CCCAUAAAACACAUGCACACAUAAAAUAAACCACUCUCUCCUUCGCUUAUCAUUUCAGCGAAAACUACUUCAGCUCCAAUUAGAAGUGUCUGACCAGACUACGCUGCACAUGCAAUAGAAGAGGCUCCUUAGCGGAGAUGCCGCAAUGAGAGCGGCAAAGGCCUGGGCGUCGUGGAAACGGAAGAGACCUUCCUUCUGAUUCUCCCAGGCGACCAUGUUGUUGUAUUUGGGCUUCUUUAGGACCCUCAGAGUGAACUCCCAGAGUUGAGCAGAGCUUGGAAUGUCUGCACAAGAAGAAACAAAAGUCAUAUGCAAGGUGCUUACGAUUUCUAGCUAUACUAUAUUAUUUUUGUGGGCAAGAAAGUUUGAUAGCGCAGUUAGGUUGAUUCAACAUACCUUUGAUUUCUGAAUCAUCCACUUCAAUUGGAGGCUUUUGAGGUUUAGCCCUUUUUGGAAUGCGAGCUGCAGAAACAAGCAAAGCAUAAGUAAAUAGCAGUAGGUAAAUGGUAAAUGACAAAAUUAUCUUUGAGACAAGCGCAUAGCUCAAGUAAUCGCAUAGAUAGUGAACUUACGUUUCAGUUCUGGGGUAGCCCUUAUAUUUGCUGGAGCAUGGUAUGGUACCAUUGGAUGGAAAUUUUCAGCAUAGAUGUUCUGGUGGUACAUAGAAGGCGGCAAAUCAGCACAUGCCUGGGGGCUUGGUGGGUAAUAAGAAAUCGGCAGAUCAGGAGAGCUGGAAAGCUGACGAUCAAGAAUGGUUCCCAUGGGAAGGUCAUUGCUAGGCUCGAUGUGGACAGCUGGGAUGUUGUAAUAAGAAUCGGGAGAGAGCAUCCAGUUCUGAUGCUCGGAGUGAUAAGUGAGAGUGUUGAUGCAGGCCGUAUUCUUGGCCUCUGGGUCACAGCAGGAGGAGUAAGGCAUGGAGGUGCAGGUAGGAGGCUGUGGUAGAAAGUGGGAGAAUUGAUUGGAAGUGGUGCAAGGGAUUGGGGGGCUGCACAUGUCCAUCUGCAGGCUGCCAACAGAGCCGGGAGAGCUACAGUUCACAGAGAGUGGUGAAUUGUCAUAGGGAGGAGAGUAGGGAGGGGAGCCACCAUGAUAAUGAUUGAAAUCUGUAUUGGGAGAAAAAGUAAUACCAUAAAAUCAUAAUUAUUACACCUGUUACAUAUGAUUAUGUGUCUUAUAAUGAGUGCCUACCAGUUGCAUAACCAUACAAAUUGUACUUACAGGCUGCAUCCUCCUGGGAGCCAGCACCAUUCAUGUAAGGGGAGGUGGGUGGUGGUGGAAGAGGGUGUUGCUCCAGCCCAGAGAAGGCAACAGGUUUGAGGCUGAUAGCCCAAUUUCGAGUCGAUCUCGAAAUUCAUGUAAUCUGUGGUCUGUCACUGUAGAGGCCAUGACUGGAAGAAAGGCGGCGGUAAAAAAGUUCAAUUUCUCGUUUCUCUGUAGAUGAGAAGAAAACAAGAUGAAAAUGGCUGCAUAUCAUAAUAGAUUUAUCUAUACAUGUAGCUAUAAUUUAUACAUGCACUUUUAUGUAGCAAUUUUAUUACUACUAACUUUGCAAUAUUAUUGAAGAGAUUGCACCAAUAUGAAAUUGGUGCAUUCAUUUAUAACUUUGCAA